rnacentral:tRNA from 1 species
GUGGCUGUAGCUCAGUGGUAGAGUGCUUGCCUAGCAUGUUUGAGGCAUUGGGUUUGAUCUGCAGCAUCACA